rnacentral:lncRNA from 1 species
CUCACACAAGAGCUUCAUGCCAGGACCUUGCACGAGGAAGAGCUUUGCACAAUGACCCUGCUCAAGGGUGAGCCUUGCACGAGGACCUUGCACAAGAGUGAGCCUUUCAUGAGGUCCUUGCACAAGAGAUUUGGGCCGGGACCUUGCGUGAGGAUGAGCCUUGCAUGAGGAUGAGCCUUGCACAAGGACCUUGCACAAGAACUUCAGGCCAGGACCUUGCGUGAGGAUGAGCUUUGCACAAGGAUGAGCCUUGCAUGAGGACCUUGCACAAGAGCUUCAGGCCAGGACUUUGCGUGAGGAAGAGCCUUGCAUGAGGUCCUUGCACAAGAGUGAGCUUUGAACAAGGACCUUGCACAAGAGCUUCAGGCCGGGACCUUGCAUGAGGAUGAGCCUUGUACGCGGACCUUGCACAAGGGUGAGCCUUUCAUGAGGUCCUUGCACAAGAGCCUCAGGUGCAGACCUUGCACGAGGAUAAGCUGCUUUCCACAAGGACCAUACACAAGGAUGAGCCACUUUGCACAAGGAUAUUGCAUUAGGAUGAGCCUUGCACAAGGGCCGUGUACAAGAGCCACAGGAGCCUUGCACGAGGGCCUUGCAUUAACAUCAGCUUUGCACGAGGACCUUGUACAAGAACCUCUGCUUAGGACCUUACAUGAGGAAGGAUCGCUUUGCACAAGGAUCUCACGCGAGGAUAAGCCUUGCACGAGGACCAUGCACAAGGAUGUGGUGCAGAGUGAAGAUCCCUUGCACAAGGACAGGCUUUUCACAAGAGGUUCGCCUGUGUGAUAGCGUUGUGUAAGGAUGAGGUUGGUGUGUGAGCUUUGCACAAGGGCCUUACACAGAGACCUCGUGCAAGGAGCCCAUGGGAAUACCUUCAGUAAGAAUGACUCUUGCACAAGGAUCUUGCACACGCCUCGUGUCAAGACAUCCUCUGAAGACCCAAUUAAGGCCUCAAGCUUUGCACGAGGGCCUUGCACAAGGAGCGUGCCUGUGGCUCUUCCUUGCACGACGGCCUGCAUGGGGCCCUUCCAUGAGAUCCUCGCACAAGGAGGGGUUUUGCACGACCAUCUUCCACAAGAGCCUUGCACGAGGGCCUUGCACCAGAGCCUCACACUGAGCCGGUUCUUGCACGUGGGCCUGCAUGACAACAACCUUUGCACAAGGACCUCGCACGAGGACACACCGUGCCUUCCAUGAGGACCUUGCACGAGGACACCAUGUGCCUUUCACCACAGCCUUGCACGAGGACGCAUUGUGCACAAGGAACUCUCCCAAGGAUGAGCCACGGCACGGCCUUGUGCACAUGCGAACCUUACAGGGAGAAGUGCCUUGCACGACAGCCUCGCACGAGGACGAGCCUUGCACGAGGGACUCGCAGACAGCCGUGCCUUGCACGAGGACCUUGCACAAGCGUGGCUAUCAGCGUGCACAAGGACGAGCCUCGUGCGAGGGCUUUGCACGAGGACGCUCCUGGCAUUGGGGCCUUGCACGAGGCCUUUCCAUGAGCGGGGCCUUGCACGAGGCCUUGCACGAGGACUGUGCACGUUGGGGGGGGGGGUUGGGGGGGGCGCCCCAUUAUUUCUAUCACAGUCGAUUUUUGAGACCAAGAAAAG